UCUCCUUUCUUCCCCCAACCUGAUCCUCAUCUCCUUUAUUAUCCCCAACAUGAUCUUUACCUCCUUCUAUUAAAUGUGGGAUACUUUUUUCUUUAUCUUUGAAGGACAUAAUUUGAUCCAUUCAAGAAGUUUUCUACAUAUAAUAUAGAUUUUCCUCAGAUCUAAUUCAAAGGUCUCGAUCUUUGCAAGUUCACUCAAAUACCAUGUCGCUUUGAUGUCUUCAUCAUCUUUGUAGCUCCGGUAAGUUUUUAUAGGAGCAGUAUCGCACUUCAGGGAGAGACAAAAAGGUCCAAUGUGUUACUCUAAAUAGAUUCCUAUGAUUUUUUAAAUGAGUUCUCUAGAGGUUUUAUUAAUUUUUUCGUAUGGUUAACACAAGUUACAAGAUCCUGAAUUUUGAGUUUCAGCUGAAGAAGGUGCAUAUUAAUCCAAUUUGUGGACGUGUCUUUAAGCAAACUACACUUACAUGGGAAACUAUUCAAGAUACUCAAUUAUUGGAUAAAUCAAUAUAAGAAUGAAGAAUGGUUGUGGCAAUAGAGGUAAAGGUCAUGAGAAAAUGAAGAAGGCUAUGAGAAGCAAGAUGAAAAUAGAGAUCCCAACUGGUAAAGGAAGACCAACUAAACCAAAUCAAUCAGCAAAAUUAUACAAUGAGUUGGGGAUAAUUGCUCAAAAUUUUAUUUUGCUUUCAAACAAGUGGAAGAAACUCUCAAGAGAGGACAAAGAUUGGACACUAAUUAGAUGUCAUUAUUUAGAUUUAGGAACAAAACAUGGAGACUAAUGAGAAAAAUUGAACAAGACAGCUGAAAGAAUGAAGAAAAGAAGGUCUGAGGAUCACCAAAAUCAUUGGGUGUGUUGCUGAAUGGAUAUCGUCUCACUUAAUGUUUCAGUGUGCCAAGCCCCUAAGGAUAAAAUCAAGUUAGCAAAGGAGCAGUCGGCUAGUCGUCGAGCGGCUCUGUGAUGCAGUAAUAUAUCUCCCAAAGUUACAAAAUCUGAAGAUGCUGAAUGACAAAAGCAAAAAGGCAAUGGAAUGGAUCAAAGGGUGGAUCACCGAAUGGAUUGGUGAUAAUGACUUAUUGCAUCGAGUGGACAUUCGCAGAACACUUUUUGAAAACUAUAAAUACAUUUUAAAAUUCUUAGUUUAGGAUCUAUCAUUCAAUAUCAGAGUUUUUAGAAGAGAAGUUUCGAUUUUCAAUUAAGAGUAUUCAGAUAAUAGUUCCUUAGCUUUGAAUAUUUGAAGAUUUCCAUUUUUGAGAAAUUAAAAGUGGGUAUUGAAGAUUCUUCAUCUUGGACCUUUGCAAAGAAAGUGAAAGAGAGAUGUAUUUGAAAGGGAUGAUUUUAUGAUGAGGGAGAACCCUCUAUUUAUACAAGAAAACUUGACACCCUUUGGCCAAAUGACCGACACUCCUACUUUACACCUGGCAUUUUUAUAUUCGACCGACACAAGAAAACAAAUGACCGAUACUCCUACUUUACACCUGGACUUUUUAUAUUCGACCGACACAAGAAAACAAAAGACCUACUAUUACUUCUUUACAUAAUGGCCUCUUCUUAUAUUUGUGGCCGACACACUCACUAUUUACUUUAUGACUUUUUACAUAAUUGGCCUUUUAUGGCCGACGCAAAACGACAAAAUACAAUAUUAUUACAAUAAUACUAUUAUUACAUAAAGUAUCUUAUUUUUGCAAGUUAUCUUAUUCUAGUUGUACCUCAGGGAUUAUGUCAUCACCUUGGUUACAUUUAGAACAUAUAUGGUCUGGGUAUUUGUGACCAAUUAACUUGCAAUAUCUUGUCAUUAGUUCUUCAGAGAUGAAUCCUUGUUUUAUUGCUCUAGUUGUUGGAGUAGCUUCUGGUUUUAACAAAGAGAAAAUCCAUUUCUGGACUUCUUCCAUAUCUGCUUGCAUUAUCUCUCGCGAAUUGGCAUAUAUCAUUAAAUGAUCUCUUGAAUAGUAGCUCCAUAUGGUAUUUCCUUGUAGAUAGUUAUUAGCUAACUCCUGUAUGAUAGUUGAUAACCCGAUUAUUCUUUUAUUAGCAUAAAAACUGGGUAUCUCAACUUUUGAUAUCUCUGGUUGUUGCCCUAUGUCUUCCGGUAUUAUCAUCUCUCGUGUUAAUCCAAUUUUCACUAUAUGGAUCAUUGGUUUUAUUUCAUCAUAAAGUAUCUCAGCUGGUGCAGUAUAGAAUCUUAUGAAAAAUAAGUUUCCUUUUGUUAUUUUUUUGUAUAUCAAAAA